rnacentral:rRNA from 1 species
UACGUAGGGGGCAAGCGUUGUCCGGAAUCAUUGGGCGUAAAGAGCGUGUAGGCGGUUCGGUAAGUCCGCUGUAAAAGUCCAGGGCUCAACCCUGGAAAGCCGGUGGAAACUGUCGAACUAGAGUCCGGAAGAGGCGAGUGGAAUUCCUGGUGUAGCGGUGAAAUGCGUAGAUAUCAGGAGGAACACCGGUGGCGAAGGCGGCUACCUGGACAGAAACUGACGCUGAGGCACGAAAGCGAGGGGAGCAAACAGG